UACGGAGGGUGCAAGCGUUGCUCGGAAUUAUUGGGCGUAAAGGGCAUGUAGGUGGUCUUAUUUGUCCGGGGUGAAAUCCUUGAGCUUAACUCAAGAAGUGCCCCGGAGACGGUGAGACUAGAGUUUUGGAGAGGGUCGUGGAAUUCCCGGUGUAGCGGUGAAAUGCGUAGAGAUCCGGAAGAACACCGGUGGCGAAGGCGGCCUGCUGGGCUAUGGCUGACACUGAGGCGCGACAGCGUGGGGAGCAAACAGG
rnacentral:rRNA from 1 species